AGAGUUUGAUCCUGGCUCAGGAUGAACGCUGGCGGUCUGCUUAACACAUGCAAGUCGAACGGAAGUAGCAAUACUUUAGUGGCGGACGGGUGAGUAACGCGUGAGAAUCUACCUUCAGGACGGAGACAACAGUUGGAAACGACUGCUAACCCCCGAUGUACCGCAAGGGCAAAUAUUUAUAGCCUGAAGAAGAGCUCGCGUCCGAUUAGCUAGUUGGGGGGGUAAAAGCCCACCAAGGCGACGAUCGGUAGCUGGUCUGAGAGGACGAUCAGCCACACUGGGACUGAGACACGGCCCAGACUCCUACGGGAGGCAGCAGUGGGGAAUUUUCCGCAAUGGGCGCAAGCCUGACGGAGCAAGACCGCGUGGGGGAGGAAGGCUCUUGGGUUGUAAACCCCUCUUCUCUGGGAAGAACAAAAUGACGGUACCAGAGAAUCA
rnacentral:rRNA from 1 species